UAAGAAAUUACGUCAAUUACAUGAGCUUAAAAAAAGAUGUAACAUUGUUUGACAAUAAGUUAGUCCUAUGUUUCUGACUUUUUUUGGGCUAAUAAACAAAUUAUUCCAAAAAAAAAAAAAAGAAAAAAAGAAAAAAAAAGAAAUUAGUCAUCAGGGGUAGGCUUUUGGUACAGUGAAUAAGACACCCUACUUGGGAGGCCUGUAUCCAAUAGCAGAAUGUCUGGGUUUGAGUCCUGACUCUGCUUUCAGUGUCAGCUUCCUGCUAAUGUAUGUGCUGGAAGGCAGCAGGUGAUGGUUGACUACAUGAGAGACCCAUAUUGAGUUCAGGGCUCCUGGUUGUGGGCAUUUCGGAGUGACCAACUGGACGGAAGGUUUCUUUCUGUCUCUCUGUCUUUCAAGUAAAUAAAAAAUAAUUACAAAGGGAAUUUUUAAAAAUUAUUCAUGAAACUAUGAAAACCUAAACCCUCCAUAACAAGUGCAUUGUUUCUUUUGUUCACUGUGGUCAAGAAUGUUCGGAACAUAGCAGCACCCAAUAAAUGUUCAAUGAGUGAAAUGAAAAGCUAAAUUAAGGUCGUGCUGGAAUUCAUCUUGAUCGUGUGCAGCAAACACUAAUGCAAUGCUGUCCUGGGGUGAUCUAAGCUGCCAUCAGUGGAAUAAAGGUUACAGGAGACUGUUACCAGGAA